CUGUGCUGAACGUUGGAUCUGAUGACUGACACAUGGAACUGAAUUACAGAAUUCUGGGCUUCAGCAUUGGUUGAGUUUAUAUAAGCAGUCUGAGUCUGAGGAGAAGUUAAAACAGUAUGGAAAGCAGUCUGCAUCACAAACAUCUCCAGGCUGAAGAAGAGGAAAGCCUUCCAUCCAUCAUGACAGCAAAUCUUCUUCUUCUCCUGUGUUUCGCUGGUCUUCUUCCAAUCUCUGUCCCCAUCCUGAGAACCGUCCCUCACAAAUAUGAACUGCUGAUGACACCAAAGAUGUGGUUAGAUGCACGUAGUUCCUGCAGAAUGAUGUAUAAUGAUGCUGCCACAAUCGUGAGUGAUACUGAUUGGCUGAGGUUGCAGAAAGUAACAUCGAGCGAAGGUCUGACAACAAAUGCCUGGGCUGGAGUUUAUAACGAU